AUUGAACGCUGGCGGCAGGCCUAACACAUGCAAGUCGAACGGUAACAGGAAUCAGCUUGCUGAUUCGCUGACGAGUGGCGGACGGGUGAGUAAUGUCUGGGAAACUGCCUGAUGGAGGGGGAUAACUACUGGAAACGGUAGCUAAUACCGCAUAACGUCGCAAGACCAAAGAGGGGGACCUUCGGGCCUCUUGCCAUCGGAUGUGCCCAGAUGGGAUUAGCUAGUAGGGGGGGUAAAGGCUCACCUAGGCGACGAUCCCUAGCUGGUCUGAGAGGAUGACAAGCCACACUGGAACUGAGACACGGUCCAGACUCCUACGGGAGGCAGCAGUGGGGAAUAUUGCACAAUGGGCGCAAGCCUGAUGCAGCCAUGCCGCGUGUAUGAAGAAGGCCUUCGGGUUGUAAAGUACUUUCAGCGGGGAGGAAGGGAGUAAAGUUAAUACCUUUGCUCAUUGACGUUACCCGCAGAAGAAGCACCGGCUAACUCCGUG
rnacentral:rRNA from 1 species